UUUCGGAGCUGUGCGGCAUUCUGAGCAGGAAUGGCAGUGUGGACCUCUGUGAUGGGACAUCUUGUGGGAUCUCACAGCCAGUUCUGUGGCAAAGGAGGAUGAAGGCUUACGAGGUACAAAUAAUGGUUUGAAUAAAGAAAGGUAUUAAUGGGUCACCUCAAGUGAAGGCACUGCAAACACAAUGAUUGGUCAUUCUGAAUUUCCGGUCCUUCAUUCUGAAUUUCAAAGGCUCCUGUGACAAGUGGACAUGCAGUGACUGCACCUUUGUUUCUGAGGUGCCUGGAUGGAGGCUCAAAUAGAAGAUGGUGUCAGAUAUAUUGUGUUAAAAUUUUACCAUUAAAGUGUAUUAUAACAUGAA
rnacentral:lncRNA from 1 species